GUCGUCUAGUUCAAUUGGAAAAACGGGUUGCAAACUGCCAGAGUGCGAGGGUUCGAUUCCCUCCGAAGACA